ensembl:snRNA U6 U6 spliceosomal RNA
GUGCUUGCUUCAGCAGCACAUACACUAAAAUUAAAAUGAUACAGAGAGGAUUAGCAUGGCUCCUGCCCAAGGAUGACACACAGAUUCAUGAAGUGUUCCAUAAUUUU